AUUGAACGCUGGCGGCAGGCCUAACACAUGCAAGUCGAGCGAGGGGCGGAGGGGUGAGGAAUGUCUGGGAAACUGCCUGAUGGGGAGGGAUAACUACUGGAAACGGUAGCUAAUACCGCGUUCAAUGAGAUGUGGGCAGAUGGGGUUAGCUGGUAGGUCGGUGAACGGCUCACCUAGGCGCCGAUCCCUAGCUGGUCUGAGAGGAUGACCAGCCCAACUGGAACUGAGACACGGUCCAGACUCCUACGGGAGGCAGCAGUGGGGAAUAUUGGACAAUGGGCGCAAGCCUGAUGCAGCCAUGCCGCGUGUGUGAAGAAGGCCUUCGGGUUGUAAAGCACUUUCAGCGGGGAGGCGUUACCCACAGAAGAAGCACCGGCUAACUCCGUGCCAGCAGCCGCGGUAAUAC
rnacentral:rRNA from 1 species